CCUAGGGUGGCAGCAGUGGGGGAUAUUGCACAAUGGAGGAAACUCUGAUGCAGCGACGCCGCGUGAGGGGAGACGGUCUUCGGAUUGUAUACCUCUGUCUUUGGGGAAGAAAAUGACGGUACCCAAAGAGGAAGCUCCGGCUAACUACGUGCCAGCAGCCGCGGUAAUACGUAGGGAGCGAGCGUUUUCCGGAAUUACUGGGUGUAAAGGGAGCGUAGGCGGGCGAGAAAGUUGAAUGUAAAAUCUACCGGCUUAACUGGUAGCUGCGUUCAAAACUGCUGGUCUUGAGUGGAGUAGAGGCAGGCGGAAUGCGUAGUGUAGCGGUGAAAUGCGUAGAUAUUAGGAAGAACACCGGUGGCGAAGGCAGCCUGCUGGGCUUUAACUGACGCUGAGGCUCGAAAGCGUGGGGAGCGAACAGGAUUAGAUACCCCAGUAGUC
rnacentral:rRNA from 1 species